CAACAGGGAUUGCCCCAGUAACGGCGAGUGAAGCGGCAACAGCUCAAAUUUGAAAUCUGGCCCUCGGGUCCGAAUUGUAAUUUGUAGAGGAUACUUUUGGCGAGGUGCCUUCCGAGUUCCCUGGAACGGGACGCCAUAGAGGGUGAGAGCCCCGUCUGGUCGGAUACCAAGCCUCUGUAAAGUUCCUUCGACGAGUCGAGUAGUUUGGGAAUGCUGCUCAAAAUGGGAGGUAUAUGUCUUCUAAAGCUAAAUAUUGGCCAGAGACCGAUAGCGCACAAGUAGAGUGAUCGAAAGAUGAAAAGCACUUUGAAAAGAGGGUUAAAAAGUACGUGAAAUUGUUGAAAGGGAAGCGCCUAUGACCAGACUUGGGCCCGGUGAAUCAUCCAGCGUUCUCGCUGGUGCACUUUGCCGGGCACAGGCCAGCAUCAGUUUGGCGCGGGGGAUAAAGGCUUUGGGAAUGUGGCUCCUCCGGGAGUGUUAUAGCCCAUUGCGUAAUACCCUGCGCCGGACUGAGGUACGCGCAUUGCAAGGAUGC
rnacentral:rRNA from 1 species